AGUCCAAAUCUAAAGUUAAGCGUUCAAAUUUUAUCCAAAUCCGAUCUAAAUCCAAUCAAUGCAUUGACUACCUGAUCCAAUCAGAUUGGAUCAGAUCGGGUACCUGAGGGUUUGGGUUUUGUUGCCAUCACUGUCAUGAAAUGUCGAAUCUCGAUGAAUAAUUAUGGCAUGGUUUAUGAAGCAAUUUGUUACAUCAAGUUUGAAUUUAAUGAGGCGGCACGAUGGCUCACCUGGAGAAUGAAUAGCUCUAGUUCGUCCAC
rnacentral:lncRNA from 1 species